rnacentral:rRNA from 1 species
UGGGGAAUUUUGGACAAUUGGGCGAAAGCCUGAUCCAGCAAUGCCGCGUGUGUGAAGAAGGCCUUCGGGUUGUAAAGCACUUUUGUCCGGAAAGAAAUCCUUGGCUCUAAUACAGUCGGGGGAUGACGGUACCGGAAGAAUAAGCACCGGCUAACUACGUGCCAGCAGCCGCGGUAAUACGUAGGGUGCAAGCGUUAAUCGGAAUUACUGGGCGUAAAGCGUGCGCAGGCGGUUUGCUAAGACCGAUGUGAAAUCCCCGGGCUCAACCUGGGAACUGCAUUGGUGACUGGCAGGCUAGAGUAUGGCAGAGGGGGGUAGAAUUCCACGUGUAGCAGUGAAAUGCGUAGAGAUGUGGAGGAAUACCGAUGGCGAAGGCAGCCCCCUGGGCCAAUACUGACGCUCAUGCACGAAAGCGUGGGGAGCAAACAGGAUUAGAUACCCCUGGUAGUCCACGCCCUAAACGAUGUCAACUAGUUGUUGGGGAUUCAUUUCCUUAGUAACGUAGCUAACGCGUGAAGUUGACCGCCUGGGGAGUACGGUCGCAAGAUUAAAACUUAAAGGAAUUGACGGGGUCAUAGCUGUUU